rnacentral:rRNA from 1 species
GUCUGGCCUGCCCACUGAAUUUUAAAGGGCCGCGGUAUUUUGACCGUGCAAAGGUAGCAUAAUCAUUAGUCUUUUAAUUGGAGGCUUGUAUGAAUGGUUGCACAAGAAAUAAACUGUCUUAAUUUAAUUUAUUGAAUUUAACUUUUAAGUAAAAAGGCUUAAAUAAAUUAAAGUGACGAUAAGACCCUAUAAAACUUUAUAAAUUAAACUAAAAAAAAAUAUUAGUUAAUUGAAAUUUUUUAUUGUUGAAUUUAUUUUAUUGGGGCGAUACAAAUAUAAUAAGUAACUGUUUUUCAUAUUUAAAUGAUAAAUAAUCAUGAACAAUUAAAUGAUCCUUUAAUAAAGAUUGUAAGAUUAAGUUACUUUAGGGAUAACAGCGUAAUUUUCUUUGAGAGUUCAUAUCUACAAGAAAGAUUACGACCUCGAUGUUGAAUUAAAAAAUCUUUAAGGUGUAGCAGCUUUAAUAGAA